rnacentral:rRNA from 1 species
CAACUUUCAACAACGGAUCUCUUGGCUCUCGCAUCGAUGAAGAAACGCAGCGAAAUGCGAUAAGUAAUGUGAAUUGCAGAAUUCAGUGAAUCAUCGAAUCUUUGAACGCACCUUGCGCCCCUUGGUAUUCCGAGGGGCACACCUGUUUGAGUGUCGU